GAACGCUGAAGACUUUAGCUUGCUAAAGUUGGAAGAGUUGCGAACGGGUGAGUAACGCGUAGGUAACCUGCCUACUAGCGGGGGAUAACUAUUGGAAACGAUAGCUAAUACCGCAUAACAGCAUUUAACCCAUGUUAGAUGCUUGAAAGGAGCAAUUGCUUCACUAGUAGAUGGACCUGCGUUGUAUUAGCUAGUUGGUGAGGUAACGGCUCACCAAGGCGACGAUACAUAGCCGACCUGAGAGGGUGAUCGGCCACACUGGGACUGAGACACGGCCCAGACUCCUACGGGAGGCAGCAGUAGGGAAUCUUCGGCAAUGGGGGCAACCCUGACCGAGCAACGCCGCGUGAGUGAAGAAGGUUUUCGGAUCGUAAAGCUCUGUUGUAAGAGAAGAACGUGUGUGAGAGUGGAAAGUUCACACAGUGACGGUAACUUACCAGAAAGGGACGGCUAACUACGUGCCAGCAGCCGCGGUAAUACGUAGGUCCCGAGCGUUGUCCGGAUUUAUUGGGCGUAAAGCGAGCGCAGGCGGUUUAAUAAGUCUGAAGUUAAAGGCAGUGGCUUAACCAUUGUUCGCUUUGGAAACUGUUAGACUUGAGUGCAGAAGGGGAGAGUGGAAUUCCAUGUGUAGCGGUGAAAUGCGUAGAUAUAUGGAGGAACACCGGUGGAC
rnacentral:rRNA from 1 species